UUUUUUUUUUUACAGAAAGAUGUUCUAAUCUCUUUUCCAACACACUUAAAAAAAACUCACCUACUAAUAAGGUCACCUACUAGCUGCUGUGUUACAUUAAGCUACAACAAGGUGGUGCUUACGAAUGUUUUAAUAAGGAACACUGAAAAGCAGAGGAAAGGUCUGGGAAAAGCUUUCCUGUAACUAUUUGAGAAUAUUUAAAUACAGUUUGACUUGCUCUCUUUUCUGAGACAAUAAGCGCCACCUACUGUCAGAGAGAGAAUCUGCAUUUUCAUUCAGCUCAUCUGACAUUUUUUUCUUUUUUAUUUGUUUAAAGAUUUUCAGAGUUUGCCACACCAUAUUUAGAUUUUUCUGUGCUGGUCUAUAAUUUAGGAAUAACUGUUUUAUAAUGUAUAUGAUGUGCCCCUAAAAGGCAGAUAAAUACAAACCAAACUGUAACUGGUCCCUAUACUUGUUCGUCAGACUGCUCUUUCUGCCCAAGUAGGCGGCACAGAUAGAAACCUGAAUCUGAGAAUAAAACACAGAGCAAAGGAAAACAAAUUCCACUUCUCACAAUUAUCCCAAUCAAUUACUGUAGAGAAAAUGGGAAAUACUUCCAAAGAAACUUUGCUAGAAAUACUUCCAAAGAAUUUAACCCUUGAACUCUACAUUCAAAGCUUAUGAAUAUGUCUUUCUUGGCCGGAGUAAGUCUUACUUGUGGAUAUUCUCUGAUAUUCCUAUGUCCUUCUGUUACGUAAUAAGGAUUCUGUGACAAAAUAGAUUAGCACUAAUGAUAGUAAUGAUGACAUUUAUAAAGCCAGGCAUACUGCACACUGCUAAGAAUGGACUGCACCACACCCUUCUCACUCCCACUCACUCAGUAUUUCAAGCGUAAGAAUUGCUCAAUUCUGGCAGCACUGGCAGCCCUUCAAAGGACUUGCACAACCAAAAAUAAACUACUUUGAAAUGCCUAUGAAGAGAGAGGAGGAAAGAGUUAGAACGAGAAGCAGAGGAAAAGCUAAAUUAUUGUCCCCCAAAUCCUUUUCAAGUCUGUUUGAGCUCUAGCGCUGCAGCCACCCACUGAGAGCCCACCACCCCCCCAUGCUCAAUGUGCGUGUCUGUUUCCCAUACCAGACAGUGUCUAGACCGAAGCAAUUACAGACAGUGCUUGAGCGCCUUGCUGCGGCCUGACGUUUGAGGGCCCUGGGACUGUCCUGGCAGCGGACAGUAAGAAGAGGGGAGGGAGGAGGUUACUGGAAGGCCUUAUCAACCAAACAUUUCAUUUGCUCAUAUGGUUAGAAGAACAGCUCUUAUUGUUCAUUUCACUUCUGAAUCUCACCUCCAAAUCUUCGACUUGGAAGAUCAGGACACUCUUAUGGAGUCCAAGAGAACUCAAGACGAAGAGGUGAAAGAUAUGAAAGCUUCGCUGAACCGGCUGCUUGUGGCUGGGCCUUCAUCUUCAGCAUUGUGUUGGAAGCUGCAAAGAGAAAUUUCAUGUGCUGGAAAUCCCCUGCUGUAUGGAGAUGGAGGAGGGCUUUUAAAUCUUAAUAUGAGGCUGUGAGAUUGUAAAAAAUAACAUAAAUAUUUAAUCUUGAGCAACUCAUUAUGGGCUAGCUAAGAUUUUAAUGCAUCAUGGAGCUUCAGAAAGAUCACCUCUUAAUUACAGAUACCAAGGAAAAUGUGGAGGGCACUGGAGUUGCACAUUUCUUAAGGUUCAUGUGUAUCUCUUCCAAGAUCGAAAGACAAAUUUUAAGAGUGAAUUUUAAUUCCUUAAUGGUUCAUUUAACCAUCCUACAAGUACUUUUGUGGAAGAAAUACUGGGGGACAGUUGUAUCUAAUAACAACUAAUAACAAUAAUGUAGUCAUGACAAAGGGUUUGAUGCUUAUAUUUUAUUACAGUAUAUUCAUUUUUUGUCUGCAUCUGAUGCACAUACUACAAGAAGUAGUCCACACAAAAUGAAAAAUGAAAAAUUCAUCACAAUUUACUCCCAUUCAUGUCAUUCCAAACCUUUACGACUUUAUCUUUUCUGUGGAAUAUUAAAAAAAAAAAAUAUAUAUAUAUUUUAAAGAAUAUUUCUGAUCAGUGUUGAAUGUCAGUUGGGGUCCAGUGUUGUUUUGGACCCUGCUGACGUUUUAUUUUAUGGACAAACACUGAUCAGAAAUAUUCUUCAAAAUAUCUUCUUUUGUGUUCCAUAGAAUAACGUUCGGAACAAGAAGGGUGAGCAAAUAAUGGCCGAAUUUUCAUAUUAUUGGUCAGGAAUAACUAUUCCUUAUCAUAACACAUGCCUACACCCUAUUUUUAUUUCCCAUUUAUUAUCCCCUCAUUUAUGCCUCAUUCCACUUUCUUUCUGGUAGUAAAACUCUCUCAGUCUUCUCACCUGCACUUGUUUUACCCUCUCUCUCUCUCUCUCUCUCUCUCUCUCUCUCUCUCUGCCAUUAUCUCUAAUUUCUCUCCUAUAUGAGUCCCUCUCUAUCUAUCCUUCUCUUUCCACUCUCUAUUUCUCAUUCUAUCCCAACCCAAACCCCUGCAGUGGUCUACUCCCACCCACUUGUACUGACACUGACACACAGAGACGGCUGUGUGUGUGUGUGUGUGUGUGUGUGGACAGCAUUUCUCUCCCAUCGCCACAGACAGGGUGACUUCAGCGGGAAAGAAUGCUCUCUCCUUCUGCUCUCUCUAUGACUUCCUCCUUUUCCCAGAGCCUCUGCCCUCCACACAGCACAGAGAGUACACACACAGGAAGGACACACAUACACACACACCAAAUAGACAAAGUCAAAAAAAAUUUAAUAUAGAAAGGAAAGAGUUGUUUAGUUAUAUUUCACAAUAUUUAUUUAUUUCUGUUUUACAAUCUUUUUUUAUCAAAUAAACGCAGUCUUGGUGAGCAUAAGAGACUUUUUCAUAAAACAUUAAGAUCUUUCUGACUAUAAACAUUUGAACAUUGGUGUAUAUGUAAAAAGCCAUAGGACUAUAUUAAACGUAAACUGAAAUUUUCCACAAUUUUACAUUCACAAUUUUUUUUUAUUUCUUUCUUAUUCUGAGGCACAUUGCAUGUUGGCCAAACUACCAUUUUUGAUGCAUGUUGGUCAUCACAAAACAUCCCAUAAGAACAGAUGAAGUGUGAUUGUUGUGACAGUCAGACACAGCUUCACAUCUGAAUGGACAGUCCUUGGCCAAAAUAAAAUAUGCUGUAGAUUUAAUCCAACCACUCCAUCAAAACUUUGGCUAGUAAGACUAACAGCAUUUUUAAGUAAGACCUGUGCAGUAGUCUUGUUGAGCAACACCACAAGAUAAAGGAUUUCCUAUAAACUGUUGGUAUGCAAGUAUAUUUCUUAUUACUUUGAAAAGGAAAUUAAAUGUAGAAAUGUUUUUAAUUUCAAUCAAGCAUGUUUUUAGAUAGAUUUCCCAGUACUUUUUACAUCCCUGCUUGAUUUGGAAGCUAUUUACUUGUUAACAAAUCUUUUUAAAUAAUAGAGAAAACAUAUAUAUAU